UGACAAUAAAAACCAGCAGCGUAACGA
rnacentral:piRNA from 1 species